UACAGAGGUCUCAAGCGUUGUUCGGAUUCAUUGGGCGUAAAGGGUGUGUAGGUGGCGCGCUAAGUCGGGUGUGAAAUUUCGGAGCUUAACUCCGAAACUGCAUUCGAUACUGGCGUGCUUGAGGACUGGAGAGGAGACUGGAAUUCAUGGUGUAGCAGUGAAAUGCGUAGAGAUCAUGAGGAAGACCAGUGGCGAAGGCGGGUCUCUGGACAGUUCCUGACGCUGAGGCACGAAGGUCAGGGGGAGCAAACGGG
rnacentral:rRNA from 1 species